CAUCCGCGCCCAGGCAGUUCUCCACGGCCCGGGCCGGGGGGCUCGGGGAGCCAGCAGGGGCGGCAGACAGCCCUAGGGGACGCGCGACAGCGCCCACUCUGCGUCCGUGCCCGGAGCCGCCGCGAUGGCCGUGCGCUCCCGCCGCCCGUGGGUGAGCGUGGCGCUGGGGCUGGUCCUGGGCUUCACCGCGGCGUCCUGGCUCAUCGCCCCCCGGGUGGCGGAGCUGAGCGAGAGGAGGAGACGCGGCUCCAGCCUCUGCUCCUACUACGGUCGCUUGGCUACCGGGCCCCGCGCCGGCGCUCAGCAGCCGCUCCCCCAGCCCCAGUCCCGGCCGCGGCUGGAGCAGUCGCCGCCCCCUGCCAGCCACGAGCUACCCGGGCCACAGCGGCUGGAGACGGCGCCCGGAGGUCCCAGUUUUCGGAGCAGCCCCUGGCAGCGGCCAGCUCCGUUGCCGCAGAGGAGGCGAGGACAGGAGUCCGAAGGUGCGACGGCGCUUCCUGGCGCUCCGGGUGCCAAGGGGGAACCCGAGGAGGAGGACGGGGGCGCGUCUGGCCCUCGGAAGGGUGGCCGGCCCGGGAGCAGCCACAACGGCAGCGGGGACGGAGGAGCCUCUGCCCCGACCUCUGGACCCGGGGACUUCCUGUACGUGGGUGUGAUGACCGCGCAGAAGUACCUGGGCAGCCGCGCGCUGGCCGCGCAGCGGACCUGGGCGCGCUUCAUCCCUGGCCGCGUGGAGUUCUUUUCCAGCCAGCAGCCUCCUGGUGCCGCGCUCGGCCAGCCCCCGCCGCCUUUACCCGUCAUCGAGCUGCCUGGGGUUGACGAUUCCUACCCUCCCCAGAAAAAGUCCUUCAUGAUGAUCAAGUACAUGCACGACCACUACCUGGACAAGUAUGAGUGGUUCAUGCGCGCGGACGACGAUGUCUACAUCAAAGGUGAUAAGUUAGAAGAAUUCCUUAGGUCCCUAAAUAGCAGCAAGCCUCUUUACCUGGGACAGACUGGCCUGGGGAAUACUGAAGAACUUGGAAAGCUGGGGCUGGAGCCUGGGGAGAACUUUUGCAUGGGAGGACCUGGCAUGAUCUUCAGCAGAGAAGUUCUCAGGAGGAUGGUACCACAUAUUGGCGAAUGCCUCAGAGAGAUGUACACAACUCACGAGGACGUGGAAGUGGGAAGGUGUGUUCGCCGCUUUGGUGGGACUCAGUGUGUCUGGUCUUACGAGAUGCAGCAGCUGUUCCAUGAAAACUAUGAACACAAUCGCAAGGGUUACAUCCAAGACCUUCACAACAGCAAAAUCCAUGCAGCCAUCACACUGCAUCCAAACAAAAGGCCCGCGUACCAGUACAGACUGCAUAACUACAUGCUGAGCCGCAAGAUCUCGGAGCUCCGCUACCGCACCAUCCAGCUCCACAGGGAAAGCGCGCUCAUGAGCAAGCUUAGCAACAGCGAAGUGAGCAAAGAGGACCAGCAGCUGGGAGUGAUGCCCUCUUUCAACCAUUUCCAGCCCCGGGAGAGAAAUGAGGUCAUCGAGUGGGAAUUCCUGACGGGGAAGCUGCUCUACUCUGCUGCAGAGAAUCAGCCCCCUCGACAGAGCAUCAACAGCAUCCUAAGGUCAGCCCUGGAUGACACUGUCCUGCAGGUGAUGGAAAUGAUCAACGAGAACGCCAAGACGAGGGGCCGGCUCAUUGACUUCAAGGAAAUUCAGUACGGCUACCGCAGGGUUGAUCCCAUGUACGGGGUGGAGUACAUUUUGGACCUGCUACUCCUGUACAAGAGGCACAAGGGAAGGAAACUGACGGUGCCCGUGAGGCGACAUGCCUAUCUCCAGCAGUUGUUCAGUAAGCCUUUCUUCAGAGAAAUGGAAGAAUUCGAUGUCAACAGUCUGGUGGAGAACAUCAACAGUGGUACUCAGUCUUUCUCCUUUCUAUCCAACUCUCUAAAAAUCCUCUCUUCUCUUCAAGAGGCCAAAGAAAUGGGAGGGCACAAUGAAAAGAAAGUGCACAUUCUUGUCCCCCUUAUUGGAAGGUAUGAUAUUUUCUUGAGAUUUAUGGAAAAUUUUGAGAGUACGUGUCUCAUCCCAAAGCAAAAUGUAAAGCUUGUCAUCAUCCUUUUUAGCGGGGAUUCUGGCCAAGAGACUAUCAGGCACGUUGAGCUGAUACAAGAAUAUCAGAACAGGUACCCUGACUCAGAAAUUAUGCUGAUUCCCAUGAAGGGGGAGUUUUCCAGGGGCCUUGGUCUAGAAAUGGCUUCUUCCCACUUUGACAAUGACACGUUGCUGCUAUUUUGUGAUGUUGACUUGAUUUUCAGAGGAGACUUCCUCCAACGAUGCAGAGAUAAUACAGUUCAGGGACAACAGGUGUACUACCCCAUCAUCUUUAGCCAGUAUGACCCAAAGGUGACCCAUACGGGAAAUCCUCCCACAGAGGAUGACUUUGUAUUCUCAAAGGAAACUGGAUUCUGGAGAGACUAUGGCUACGGAAUCACCUGUAUUUACAAAAGCGAUCUGCUGGGUGCAGGUGGAUUUGAUACCUCGAUACAAGGCUGGGGAUUGGAAGAUGUAGAUCUCUACAAUAAAGUUAUCCUAUCUGGCUUACAGCCCUUCAGAAGUCAAGAAGUAGGAGUGGUGCAUAUUUUCCAUCCAGUUCAUUGUGAUCCUCACUUGGACCCUAAGCAGUAUAAAAUGUGCUUAGGAUCCAAAGCAAGUACUUUUGCCUCAACCAUGCAACUGGCUGAACUCUGGUUAGAAAAACACUUGGGUGUCAGGGACAAUCGAACUCUCUCCUGACAAUCCAGGCAACACUUAUUGCCUUUUGAAAGGGGAGCUUACCUCAGUGUUGGCUAUUUUUAUUUUUAUUUUAUUAUUGUUAUUUUAUUAUUGUUAUUAUUGUUGUUGUUAUAAUUUUAUUUUGUUGUCUUGGUCUUAAAGUACUCUUGGUUAUCUUCCAGAGGGUGUUUGUUAACCUCAAGCAAGAAGAAUCUGCAGUUCACUGAUAUCUCAGUCAGAGUUCUACUGAAGUCAAUACAUGUAUUACCUUUAUAUAACUUUAUUUGAGAUUGAGUUAAAUCAUGGCAAUCCGAUGACUUUGGAAGCUCACUCAUCACAGGAGACAGCUUAGAAGAAUGUUCUCUUAGGGCUUAAAGAUGCAAUAUUGACUUUUCUUUUGUUUGUCAACUUCAAUGUGAUAUAAACAUUUACCAGUGAAAGGUACCACAAAAGUGCUUUAUGCUUCCUAUGGGGAAGGGACUCUGUGACAUAAACUUGAGUUUUGUAAUUUAUACAAGGACUUAAAUAUAUAGACAAUAAUUUUCUUCAUCGUUAGAAUUUUUAAAGUAAAUGAACACCUAUGAUUGUAUGUUUAUUUUUUAAGAAAAAGUUUUAAAAAUUGAGGAGUACUGUUCCACAAGCAACCGGUACUGGCUACCCUGGUCUUACAAUUGCAAACUCCUCACAAUUGUCUGCUAUAAAUGCGAAGGAACUUUAUUUUCUCAAGGAAAUAUGAUUUAAUGAAAUAUUCAUGUACAUUUUAGAAGCUUUAUGAAACAAUGUCCUUCAUUUGCUGGCAAGAAGAUAAACUAUGACUGAACCUGUUUAUUUAUAAUAAAACACAGUGUGUUAAGGUUAAAGGACGUUACAAUGUGAAUGUGAUCAGAAGACAAAGAUGUUAUACAAACCCAGCAUCCUCUUAGUUGGAUACCUGUGACCUCACCUCAAAAGCCCCACUGUCCUUCAGCAGCACUGCAGAAAGUCCCUGGGUUGUGAGAUGUUCCAGGAUAAGCUGACAAGCAUGCUGUAUUAGAGGAUAAUGUCUGUGCUGAUGAACAGUCCCUGUAUCCUUGAGGGACAUCAAUAGGGCAAGAACUGGCCAGUGUGGUCCAGCUACUUUCAACCCACAGCCUCACUCAGAAGUCAGCCAUGCUGCCAAGUUUGCCAUGACAGAUGGUGAGGAUGAUGUGAGAUACCAGCAAUGAUUCAUUCUCCCAGAUGGCGAUGAAGCGGCAUCUGGAUCAAACCAGAAACCACCCUGCCUGCCAGGACAUUUUAGUGUCAACUUCAAUUUCCCAUCCAAUUGUCUAUUUCCCUCUUCUGUUCUCAUCUGCAAAGCCACCAACAUCUGAGCUACGUGUGGAAUUCUCUUCAUAUUUGGUUUUAUCUCAAUAAAACUCCAUCAAUAUAUUAGUUCUGAAGGUUGACAAAAACUUGUCAUUGAGUUUGUAGAUACAUUCUGUAUACUUGCACAUUUUUGGAAUUCUGCUCUCACAUUUUAGAGAACUUUGUCCAUUUGCAAUUGACCUGAUUAAAUGCUAUAUGAAGUGGCCCUGUCAUGAAAAGAGAGCCUCCUCUUGUAAACAUAAACACAAAGCAGUACCAACAAGGAUGGUGCCCAGAUGCAAGCACUCAUGCUACCCACCACAUUAAACAAUUAGCAAAUCUUCAUUGAGAAAUUAUUUGGCAAAAGUACUCUCUCCAGUCAAAACUGUAAAACUGUAAAGACUCCAAAUACUGGUUAAAUUAACGCAUUGCCGAAUGUUCACAUAAAAAUGAAAAUAAAUGACCCCAACUUUCAGGUUUGUUUCCACCUCCAAAAUCAGUCCAUCCCCACUCUAGCAAACAUUCCUAAAAUUUAUUCCCAUUCAUCUAAAUUACUCCAACUUCUAUUUCUAAAGCAAAGUCUAGUUGAAGGAGAACACAACGUUAAAGAUAAGAGAGUAACGGAAUGUAUUAUUUUCCUCUACUCCACUUCCCUCACACUUUCCAUGGUAUUUAAGCACGCUCAUGACUGACUCUAACUUUCAGUAUUAUACUUACAUUUUUGUCUAUCACACACAGAAAUGUCUUGAUAUAAGCAUUAUACAAUUUAAACAGCAAGCUUCUCAUGCCAGGUCUGUGAAUUCAUGUUACUCUGUAACUCAGAAGCUUGAAUGAUGAUAUUCACAUGAUAUUGUCAACUUUCUUCACUAGCAAUCCUAGUUUAUUGAAAGCGUGCUGAAAUAUAUGCCUUCUCCUAGACCAGAAGAUUGUAUAUGUUCUGGUGAGAAUGUAGACUAAAAACUGGAACAGAGAUUGCUAGAAUGCUUUGAUCCCCCUUAAACACUUAUCAUUUCCUAAUUAAUCUGUUCAAUAUUCAAUCCUGAAUUUAAUGAAAAAAGUAUUGCAUCAAAAUUUUACAGAGCUAAUUUUUCCAUUAAGGAAUGAAUUUCAUGAAUAAAACAUAAUGUGUAUUUUUA